rnacentral:rRNA from 1 species
AGAGUUUGAUCCUGGCUCAGGAUGAACGCUGGCGGCGUGCUUAACACAUGCAAGUCGAACGGGGAACAUUUUAUGGAAGCUUCGGUGGAAAUAGCUUGUUCCUAGUGGCGGACGGGUGAGUAACGCGUGGAUAACCUGCCUCAUACAGGGGGAUAACAGUUAGAAAUGACUGCUAAUACCGCAUAAGCGCACAGCGCUGCAUGGCACAGUGCGAAAAGCUCCGGCGGUAUGAGAUGGAUCCGCGUUUGAUUAGCUAGUUGGUGGGGUAAAGGCCUACCAAGGCGACGAUCAAUAGCCGACCUGAGAGGGUGACCGGCCACAUUGGGACUGAGACACGGCCCAAACUCCUACGGGAGGCAGCAGUGGGGAAUAUUGCACAAUGGGGGAAACCCUGAUGCAGCGACGCCGCGUGAAGGAAGAAGUAUUUCGGUAUGUAAACUUCUAUCAGCAGGGAAGAAAAUGACGGUACCUGACUAAGAAGCCCCGGCUAAUUACGUGCCAGCAGCCGCGGUAAUACGUAAGGGGCAAGCGUUAUCCGGAUUUACUGGGUGUAAAGGGAGCGUAGACGGCAGUGCAAGUCUGAUGUGAAAGCCCGGGGCUCAACCCCGGGACUGCAUUGGAAACUGUGCAGCUAGAGUGUCGGAGAGGUAAGUGGAAUUCCUAGUGUAGCGGUGAAAUGCGUAGAUAUUAGGAGGAACACCAGUGGCGAAGGCGGCUUACUGGACGAUAACUGACGUUGAGGCUCGAAAGCGUGGGGAGCAAACAGGAUUAGAUACCCUGGUAGUCCACGCCGUAAACGAUGAAUACUUGGUGUCGGGCCGCCAAAAGACGUUCGGUGCCCCAGCAAACGCAAUAAGUAUUCCACCUGGGGAGUACGUUCGCAAGAAUGAAACUCAAAGGAAUUGACGGGGACUCGCACAAGCGGUGGAGCAUGUGGUUUAAUUCGAAGCAACGCGAAGAACCUUACCAAGUCUUGACAUCUGCCUGAUCGGUCCGUAACAGGACCCUUCCUUCGGGACAGGCAAGACAGGUGGUGCAUGGUUGUCGUCAGCUCGUGUCGUGAGAUGUUGGGUUAAGUCCCGCAACGAGCGCAACCCUUAUCCUUAGUAGCCAGCAGGUAGAGCUGGGCACUCUAGGGAGACUGCCAGGGACAACCUGGAGGAAGGUGGGGAUGACGUCAAAUCAUCAUGCCCCUUAUGAUUUGGGCUACACACGUGCUACAAUGGCGUAAACAAAGGGAGGCGAAGGGGUGACCUGGAGCAAAUCCCAAAAAUAACGUCUCAGUUCGGAUUGUAGUCUGCAACUCGACUACAUGAAGCUGGAAUCGCUAGUAAUCGCGAAUCAGAAUGUCGCGGUGAAUACGUUCCCGGGUCUUGUACUCACCGCCCGUCA